AUUAUAAGGCAGUUCAUAGAUGCUGCUGCUGCUGCUGCUAGCAUUUCAUCUGCUGAGAAUCACACUCAGUAGCAACAGCCGUCCAAGAUACAGCCCUGCGGGGCUUUGAGUGUUAACGUUGGGUGCAUAGUGAUGAGGCUUUUUUAAAGCCUUGAAACGGGGCCAACUGGUAAUACCUAAGGAACCUCUUCUACCAGAGGCAAGCAUUUUCACCAGCCAUUUUGAAUUUGAUGUGCUCAGCACUUUGAGGUAGCUGGCUCCUGGGCGUAAGUCAGAUUCUGACUCACUGGCUGGAUCACCAUCCUCAGGACCCCUUGCAGGAGUCUCACACUGUCGCCCAGGCUGGAGUGCAAUGGCACAAUCUCGGCUCACUACAACCUCUGCCUCCCAGGUUCAAGCGAUUCUCCUGCCUCAGCCUCCCAUCUUCAAAUAUUUUUGUACCCUUAUCUUAUUUUUUCAGGAACUCCAGUUUCACAAAUAUUAGCCCAAGUGAAAUUGGCCCACAGAUCACUGAUCCUCUGUUCAUUAAAAAAAAAAUAAAAGUCUCUGUGAUGGUUGAUUUUGGGUAUCAACUUGCCUGGAUUAAGGGACACUUAGGUACCUGGGAAAGCAUUGUUUAUUCUCAGUGCUUCAGUGGGCACUGAGCACAUCCCUUUUCUGCUGAAAGGGAAACCCAGAUGGCUUGCCAUUUGAUUGGAAUGAUUGGGCUCCCCCAGGAAUGUUUGAGAGGGUGUUUCCAGAUGACAUUGGCAUAUGAGUUGGUGGACUGAGUGGGGAAGAUCUAGCUUCAAUGUGGAUGGACAUCAUCCAAUCAGCUGG
rnacentral:lncRNA from 1 species